rnacentral:lncRNA from 10 species
CCACCAUGCCCGGUGGCGUGCAUGGUAAUUUUUGUAUUUUUAGUAGAAACAGGAUCUCGCCAUGUUGGCCAGGCUGGUCUUGAACUCCUGACCUCAGGUGAUCCACCCGCCUUGGCCUCCCAAAGUACUGGGGAUUACAGAUGUGAGCCACCACGCCUGGCCCACAGUCUGUAUUUUAACAAGAUCCCCACCUCAGUCUUAGGCACAUGGAUUCUCCUCAACCCCCAAUACCACAGAGUCUAUUAAUUUUUACCCAAUAGGGAAGGGGAAAAAGUCAAGAAAGAAUAAUGAAUUAAGUAAUCUUUCCCCCUCCAGGAAGCUCUUUAUUUAAUUUCGCUCCCAUGAAACACAAUUUGAAGAGUCUCUCAAAUAAACAAAUUCCAUUUUCUGAUAAUUAUUUAAUUGCCCCACUUUUGAAAUUUUUGUCAAAGACGACUGUCACUCCCUGUCAGAACUUCUAUUCAGCACAGUAUACCAAGCGUUUCUCCAUCGAGUUGUUAUAAUAUGAUCAAAAAGCAGGGAGAGAUGCUGCUUGGUUACCCUGUGGGGCCUUAUCGGGGCUCAGUGCAGUCUUUCCAUGUAGGCAUUCUCAAAUACUCAAUUGAAACCUGAUUGAGGAUCAUUUGAUCUCUGUUGGCCCUAGUGCAGUAGGCUGCUGAGAACCACUGAUGCAAUAGACUGAGAGACUAACUGCCUGCUUCCCUGUCAGCCCAGGCUCUGCUAAGGCCGUCUUAGUUACAGAAGAAAGUGGGGCAGAGAGCCCUGCAAGGAUUACAUUCCAUUCCUAACGGAGACAGGCAAGCGUUCAGUGCCCGAAGCAGGGCAGGCCUUUGUAUGGCUCACUUUUCCCUGUACCAGCCUCAGCCCCGUACAUUCAGAAAGCCCUGUCGGGAACGUGCGGGAUCACAGCACAAGACAGUCAUUCACUGAUUGAUUGACGACGUCAACAUUGCGGAAUACCUAUGUUAAGCUGAGUACGAGGGAUAUAAAAAGUAGGCCCUGGAGAGUGCCUCUGGGAUGCACAUAACCAGACAAGAUAAAGAAAAGGCAGAUCACGAGAUCAAGAGAUCGAGAUCAUCCUGGCCAACAUGGUGAAACCCCAUCUCUACU